rnacentral:rRNA from 1 species
UACGUAGGGUGCGAGCGUUAUUCGGAUUUACUGGGCGUAAAGCGUGUGUAGGUGGUAUUGUGCGUCUUCGAUUAAAGACUAGAGCUCAACUCUGGGAAUGUUGGAGAUACGGCGAUACUAGAGGUUUGCAGGGGCAGAUGGAAUUCCUGGUGUAGCAGUGAAAUGCGUAGAUAUCAUUUGGAACGCCAAUGGUGAAAACAGGUAGCUGGGGCUGUGCUGACGCUGAGACACGAAAGCCAGGGGAGCAAACGGG